rnacentral:rRNA from 2 species
CUUGACCUCAAAUCAGGUAGGACUACCCGCUGAACUUAAGCAUAUCAAUAAGCGGAGGAAAAGAAACUAACAAGGAUUCCCCUAGUAACUGCGAGUGAAGCGGGAAAAGCUCAAAUUUAAAAUCUGGCAGUCUCUGGCUGUCCGAGUUGUAAUCUAGAGAAGUGUUAUCCGCGCUGGACCGUGUACAAGUCUCCUGGAAUGGAGCGUCAUAGAGGGUGAGAAUCCCGUCUUUGACACGGACUGCCAGGGCUUUGUGAUAUGCUCUCAAAGAGUCGAGUUGUUUGGGAAUGCAGCUCAAAAUGGGUGGUAAAUUCCAUCUAAAGCUAAAUAUUGGCGAGAGACCGAUAGCGAACAAGUACCGUGAGGGAAAGAUGAAAAGAACUUUGGAAAGAGAGUUAAACAGUACGUGAAAUUGCUGAAAGGGAAACGCUUGAAGUCAGUCACGUUGGCCAGGGAUCAACCUUGCUUUUGCUUGGUGCACUUUCUGGUUGAUGGGUCAGCAUCAAUUUUGACCAUUGGAAAAAGGUCAAGGGAAUGUGGCAUCUUCGGAUGUGUUAUAGCCCUUGGUUGCAUACAAUGGUUGGGAUUGAGGAACUCAG